CCUACGGGAGGCUGCAGUGAGGAAUAUUGGUCAAUGGGAGGAAUCCUGAACCAGCCAUGCCGCGUGCAGGACGACGGCUCUACGAGUUGUAAACUGCUUUUGUACCGGGGUAAAAUGCUCUACGAGUAGGGUUUUGAAAGUACGGUACGAAUAAGGAUCGGCUAACUCCGUGCCAGACGCCGCGGUAAUACGGAGGAUCCGAGCGUUAUCCGGAUUCAUUGGGUUUGAAGGGUGCGUAGGUUGUUUUAUAAGUUAGCGGUGAAAUGCCCCCGCUCAACGGGGUGAAGUGCCAUUGAUACUGGCUUGCUGGAAUGCGGAUGCCGUGGGAGGAAUGUGUGGUGUAGCGGUGAAAUGCAUAGAUAUCACACAGAACACCGAUUGCGAAGGUAUCUCACGAAUCCGCGAUUGACGCUGAUGCACGAAAGCGUGGGUAUCAAACAGGAUUAGAUACCCCUGUAGUC
rnacentral:rRNA from 1 species